rnacentral:rRNA from 1 species
GCACGUAUGGUGGGCACUCUAAGGAGACUGCCGGUGACAAACCGGAGGAAGGUGGGGAGUGACGUCAAGUCAUCAUGGCCCUUACGGCCUGGGCUACACACGUGCUACAAUGGUCGGGUACAAAGGGUUGCCAAGCCGCGAGGUGGAGCUAAUCCCAUAAAACCGAUCGUAGUCCGGAUCGCAGUCUGCAACUCGACUGCGUGAAGUCGGAAUCGCUAGUAAUCGUGAAUCAGAAUGUCACGGUGAAUACGUUCCCGGGCCUU